rnacentral:rRNA from 1 species
GACAGAGGGUGCAAACGUUGCUCGGAAUCACUGGGCGUAAAGGGUGCGUAGGUGGUUGUGCAAGUCUGAUGUGAAAUCUCCGGGCUUAACCCGGAAAUGGCAUUGGAAACUGCAUGGCUAGAGGGUUGGAGGGGGGACUGGAAUACUUGGUGUAGCAGUGAAAUGCGUAGAUAUCAAGUGGAACACCAGUGGCGAAGGCGAGUCCCUGGACAACACCUGACACUGAGGCACGAAAGCUAGGGGAGCAAACAGG